rfam:Triticum aestivum genome assembly, contig: Triticum_aestivum_CS42_TGACv1_scaffold_196095_3AL
UAUGGGAAAUGAUGAUUAUUUCAUCUCAGAUGUCCUUUAUGGAUAAUUCAGAAUGAUGAGAAAUUGCACGUCAGUCUGAUCCCAAA